UAGGGAAUCUUCCACAAUGGGCGCAAGCCUGAUGGAGCAACACCGCGUGAGUGAAGAAGGGUUUCGGCUCGUAAAACUCUGUUGUUGAAGAAGAACGUGCAUGAGAGUAACUGUUCAUGCAGUGACGGUAUUCAACCAGAAAGUCACGGCUAACUACGUGCCAG
rnacentral:rRNA from 1 species